ACGGGAGGCAGCAGUCGGGAAUAUUGCGCAAUGGAGGAAACUCUGACGCAGUGACGCCGCGUGCAGGAAGAAGGUUUUCGGAUUGUAAACUGCUUUAGACAGGGAAGAAGAAGUGACAGUACCUGUAGAAUAAGCUCCGGCUAACUACGUGCCAGCAGCCGCGGUAAUACGUAGGGAGCAAGCGUUAUCCGGAUUUAUUGGGUGUAAAGGGUGCGUAGACGGGAAGUUAAGUUAGUUGUGAAAUCCCUCGGCUCAACUGAGGAACUGCAACUAAAACUGAUUUUCUUGAGUACUGGAGAGGAAAGUGGAAUUCCUAGUGUAGCGGUGAAAUGCGUAGAUAUUAGGAGGAACACCAGUGGCGAAGGCGACUUUCUGGACAGAAACUGACGUUGAGGCACGAAAGUGUGGGGAGCAAACAGGAUUAGAUACCCUGGUA
rnacentral:rRNA from 1 species